rnacentral:rRNA from 1 species
CAGUCGAGAAUCUUCGUCAAUGGGCGAAAGCCUGAACGAGCGACGCCGCGUGCGGGAUGACGGCCUUUGGGUUGUAAACCGCUGUCGAGGGGGAUGAAGGCCAUGGGGUACUCUUCAUGGUUUGACAGAGCCCUGGAGGAAGCACGGGCUAAGUUCGUGCCAGCAGCCGCGGUAAUACGAACUGUGCGAACGUUAUUCGGAAUCACUGGGCUUACAGGGUGCGUAGGCGGCUCUUCAAGUCAGGUGUGAAAGCCCCCGGCUCAACCGGGGAACAGCGCUUGAAACUGAAGGGCUCGAGUCAGCUAGAGGUGCACGGAACUUCCAGUGGAGCGGUGAAAUGUGUUGAUAUUGGAAGGAACACCGGAGGCGAAAGCGGUGCACUGGGGCUGGUCUGACGCUGAGGCACGAAAGCCAGGGUAGCGAACGGGAUUAGA